rnacentral:rRNA from 1 species
UACGGGGGGGGCAAGCGUUGUUCGGAAUUACUGGGCGUAAAGGGCUCGUAGGCGGCCAACUAAGUCAGACGUGAAAUCCCUCGGCUUAACCGGGGAACUGCGUCUGAUACUGGAUGGCUUGAGGUUGGGAGAGGGAUGCGGAAUUCCAGGUGUAGCGGUGAAAUGCGUAGGUAUCUGGAGGAACACCGGUGGCGAAGGCGGCAUCCUGGACCAAUUCUGACGCUGAGGAGCGAAAGCCAGGGGAGCAAACGGG